CCAGGGGCAUGCACCACAUGGAUGCAGACUUCAGAGUGAUUAAAAAUAUGGUGGGUGAGAUUGGUGUUAUGAAAAGCAGAUAGAACAGCUCUCUGAUGAGUGUUUUGCUUACCUUUUAAGAAAUAAAUUGGGGUCAGGUCAAGUGCUCACAACCAUGUAUAGGGGUGCUCAUGGCCAUGGAACUGCAAGAAGCAGAAGGGCAAGCAGUGCAGUUUGAGUAUGUGAAAACAGAGGGUAGAGAUCUCAAACCUCUUUCUCUUCCCUUUCUUUUUCCAGCAACAAACACCAUUUUGUCACAAAGGUACUGUUUUGUGGAGGCUUAUCAGGUUAGGCAAAAAAUAUUUGCUGGAAAGAUUUCCAAGAGUUUGCUCAUCAGAAGGAGUGCAUGUUUUCCGCUCACUACUGAUGGAGUGGAGUGACCUGUUUACAGCCCCUCACUGCUCAGGAUUAGUAUUUCCAACUUAUUUCAUAAAAAAUGACAGAACCUGCACCCACAGAAAAAUGUUGACAAACUGAAUGGUAGGUGCCAAGAGCCACAGCUCUGAGUGGCAUCACCUGGAUCUGCCCCUGUUUGUUUGCAGACACCUGGCAGAUGAAAUUUAAGAAAACCCUUAAACUUGGAGCACACCAGGAGGUCACUGGAAUACCUCCAGCUCCAUGAGACUCUGAUAGAAAUAAAACGAUGGGCCAGAUCCUCUCCA
rnacentral:lncRNA from 1 species